AGCCCCGCUCAGAAACUCAAAGGAAUUGACGGGGGCCCGGCACAAGCGGAGGAACAUGUGGUUUAAUUCGAUGAUACGCGAGGAACCUUACCUGGGCUUAAAUGGGGAGUGACAGCUGUCGAAAGAUGGUUUUCUUCGGACACUCUUCAAGGUGCUGCAUGGUUGUCGUCAGCUCGUGCCGUGAGGUGUCGGGUUAAGUCCCAUAACGAGCGCAACCCUUACCGUUAGUUACCAUCAGGUUAAGCUGGGGACUCUAGCGGGACUGCCACCGUAAGGUGAGAGGAAGGUGGGGAUGACGUCAAAUCAGCACGGCCCUUAUGUCCAGGGCUACACACGUGUUACAAUGGCCGGUACAAAGGGCAGCUACUUCGCGAGAAGAUGCUAAUCUCGAAAGCCGGUCUCAGUUCGGAUCGAAGUCUGCAACCCGACUUCGUGAAGCUGGAUUCGCUAGUAAUCGCGCAUCAGCCAUGGCGCGGUGAAUACGUUCCCGGGCCUU
rnacentral:rRNA from 1 species